CAAUGACAGUGCAAAGAAAACGGGCAUGAAGCAGCAAAAGCCCUGGAUCUCUGUGACACCAGCAUCCUUGGAUGUGCAUGGAAGCAGCCAAGGAGAGGCACCCAGAGGUGAGAUCAGUUCAAACAGUUUGAUGUGGCUAUACUGACCAAACUGGAGCAACACAAAAUGUGGAUUUUUAUGGAGUAUGAACCAGCUCCCUGUAUCUUACCCUGAUCCUGAUCAAAUGCCACCUGAGGCCAGAGGAAAGGCUCUGCUUCUAAGUCCUAAAAUAAAAAUAUUAAUGUUUCUACCUUCAGCAAC